ncrna:unclassified sequences Glutamine-II riboswitch (downstream peptide RNA)
AAACGUUCACCCUGAUACAGGGCGCAGUGGUUCGCAGGUCAUGGAACGGGGGCCUGUU